AUUAUUUUUGAGAAUGGCAUUAAUAAACCCUGAUUCGGUUGAACAGCUUUAAAGUGAAAAAGUAAAUAUGAUAAACUAAAUAAUUCACAUAAUCUUUAUAUUGUAAACUAUUUUAAUGCUAUGAAAUGAAUUAAAAUGGACCUUCAAGAAAAAGACAUCCUACCAUAAUAAUUUUGGGGCGAGUCAAUGAAUAUAAUGUAAAAAUAAAUUUAUUUUAUUUGAAAAUUCAAUAAUUGAUUCGUAUAGAA